UGUGGAUAGAUGAGGAAGCUCAUAUUUAAAUAGGUAAUUUACAUCUAAUUAUUUCAUCCGUGUUAUCACCUUGGAGAUCUAAUGCCCUGA